AGAGUUUGAUCCUGGCUCAGAACGAACGCUGGCGGCAUGCCUAACACAUGCAAGUCGAACGAACCCUUCGGGGUUAGUGGCGCACGGGUGCGUAACGCGUGGGAACCUGCCUUUAGGUUCGGAAUAACUCGAAGAAAUUUGAGCUAAUACCGGAUAAUGUCUUCGGACCAAAGAUUUAUCGCCUUUAGAUGGGCCCGCGUUAGAUUAGAUAGUUGGUGGGGUAACGGCCUACCAAGUCGACGAUCUAUAGCUGGUCUGAGAGGAUGAUCAGCCACACUGGGACUGAGACACGGCCCAGACUCCUACGGGAGGCAGCAGUGGGGAAUAUUGGACAAUGGGCGAAAGCCUGAUCCAGCAAUGCCGCGUGAGUGAUGAAGGCCUUAGGGUUGUAAAGCUCUUUUACCCGGGAUGAUAAUGACAGUACCGGGAGAAUAAGCUCCGGCUAACUCCGUGCCAGCAGCCGCGGUAAUACGGAGGGAGCUAGCGUUGUUCGGAAUUACUGGGCGUAAAGCGCGCGUAGGCGGCUAUUUAAGUCAGGGGUGAAAUCCCGGGGCUCAACCCCGGAACUGCCCUUGAAACUGGAUGGCUAGAAUCCUGGAGAGGCGAGUGGAAUUCCGAGUGUAGAGGUGAAAUUCGUAGAUAUUCG
rnacentral:rRNA from 1 species